rnacentral:rRNA from 1 species
UUUGACCAUGGCUCAGGAUGAACGCCUGACAGAAUGCUUAACACAUGCAAGUCGAUGGGGAAGGCUGAGCUUGCUUAGCUGGUAACCAUGGCGGACGGGUGAGUAACGCGUAAGGAACUUACCUGCGGGACUGGGAUAACGGAGGGAAACUUCUGACAAGACCGGAUAAAGUUACUGGGCAGCAUUGUUUGGUAAUGAAAGGAGACGCCUGCGGAGAGUCUUGCGUCCUAUUAGCUAGUUGGUUGGGUAACGGCUGACCAAGGCGAAGAUAGGUAGCCGGCCUGAGAGGGUGGACGGCCACAAGGGGACUGAGAUACGGCCCUUACUCCUACGGGAGGCAGCAGUGGGGAAUAUUGGACAAUGGGGGCAACCCUGAUCCAGCAAUUCUGUGUGCACGAAGAAGGUUUUCGGAUUGUAAAGUGCUUUCAGCAGGGAAGAAGGAAGUGACGGUACCUGCAGAAGAAGCGACGGCUAAAUACGUGCCAGCAGCCGCGGUAAUACGUAUGUCGCGAGCGUUAUCCGGAAUUAUUGGGCAUAAAGGGCAUCUAGGCGGCCUGACAAGUCAGGGGUGAAAACCUGCGGCUCAACCGCAGGCCUGCCUUUGAAACUGUAAGGCUGGAGUACCGGAGAGGUGGACGGAACUGCACGAGUAGAGGUGAAAUUCGUAGAUAUGUGCAGGAAUGCCGAUGAUGAAGAUAGUCCACUGGACGGAAACUGACGCUGAAGUGCGAAAGCCGGGGGAGCGAACAGGAUUAGAUACCCUGGUAGUCCCGGCCGUAAACGAUGAUUACUGGGCGUGGGCAGGAAGACUGUCUGUGCCGAAGCGAAUGCGAUAAGUAAUCCGCCUGGGGAGUACGGCCGCAAGGCUGAAACUCAAAGGAAUUGACGGGGACCCGCACAAGCGGUGGAGCAUGUGGUUUAAUUCGACGCAACGCGAGGAACCUUACCAGAAUCUUGACAUCCUACGAAUGCCCAUGAGGAUGGGCAGUGCCUUCGGGAACGUAGAGACAGGUGGUGCAUGGCUGUCGACAGCUCGUGUCGUGAGAUGUUGGGUUAAGUCCCGCAACGAGCGCAACCCUUUUUGCUAGUUACCAUCAUUAAGUUGGGGACUCUAGCGAGACUGCCUGCGAAGAGCAGGAGGAAGGUGGGGAUGACGUCGAAGUCAUCAUGCCCCUUAUGAAUCUGGGCUACACACGUGCUACGAAUGGGCUGUACAGAGAGGAGCGAGGUGGUGAACACGGACGAAUUCUGAAAACCGUUCGAAGUUCGGGAUGAAGUUCUGCAAACUGAACUUCAGAAAGUUGGAACGGCUGUUAAUCGCGAUUCAGGCUAUGCCGCGGUGAAUACUUUCUCGGGUCUGCACCCACCCCCCCGCCUAGGGCGAAUUCGUUUAACCCGCAGAGACGGU